UGCAGUCGAACGGUAGCAGGAAGUGCUUGCACUUCGCUGACGAGUGGCGGACGGGUGAGUAAUGCUUGGGAACUUGCCUUUAGGUGGGGGAUAACAGUUGGAAACGACUGCUAAUACCGCAUAAUGUCUACGGACCAAAGGGGGCUUCGGCUCCCGCCUUGAGAGAGGCCCAAGUGAGAUUAGCUAGUUGGUGGGGUAAAGGCCUACCAAGGCAACGAUCUCUAGCUGUUCUGAGAGGAAGAUCAGCCACACUGGGACUGAGACACGGCCCAGACUCCUACGGGAGGCAGCAGUGGGGAAUAUUGCACAAUGGGGGAAACCCUGAUGCAGCCAUGCCGCGUGUGUGAAGAAGGCCUUCGGGUUGUAAAGCACUUUCAGUUGUGAGGAAAGGUUGGUAGUUAAUACCUGCCAGCUGUGACGUUAACAACAGAAGAAGCACCGGCUAACUCCGUGCCAGCAGCCGCGGUAAUACGGAGGGUGCGAGCGUUAAUCGGAAUUACUGGGCGUAAAGCGCACGCAGGCGGCUUGUUAAGCUAGAGGUGAAAGCCCCGCGCUCAACGUGGGAACUGCCUUUAGAACUGGCAGGCUAGAGUCUUGGAGAGGGGAGUGGAAUUCCAGGUGUAGCGGUGAAAUGCGUAGAUAUCUGGAGGAACAUCAGUGGCGAAGGCGGCUCCCUGGCCAAAGACUGACGCUCAUGUGCGAAAGUGUGGGUAGCGAACAGGAUUAGAUACCCUGGUAGUCCACACCGUAAACGCUGUCUACUAGCUGUUUGUGUAUUUAAUGCGUGAGUA
rnacentral:rRNA from 1 species